GUCAAUGAUGGACUGAUUAAGGGGAUCGAAAGAUCCACCGUUUACCUAGUACAGCGGCACUGCAAACCUUGAUCAGUUCAUCACCAGU
rfam:Avibacterium paragallinarum JF4211, WGS project CBMK01000000 data, contig: 33-17-19-57